GUUCAUGGUACAAUGCCCAGCUCCAUGUGCUUCCUGCACUGUUCCUAGCCAGGUUCUCAGCUCCUAAAUUGAAGUCUGCUGAAAUGUCCUUAAUCUUUGCUAUAUGGGCCUCCAAAGCCCUCUGCACCUUUCAGUGGAUCCAAAAGCACACUUUUGGGAUUGUAAGCAAGAAACAAAGAAAGAAGGAAAGCCAGGAAGUCAUCAAUCUAGGAAAAAAGUAAAAGUUUUAACUAUGGCUCCUCCCCACAACUGAUUAAAGGCUAACACAGCAGCUUGGCUGGAAAGACUGCUUCCCUCCUGAGCCCCAAGCCCAUAUCCAUGAAGUAUUGCUACUCAUAAAACAAAUCAAACAGAUAUAGAAAGAGACAAGAGCAAAAACAAAAAGCAGUCUGGUUACCAGUGCCAUUUCCAGUGGAGAGAAGAAUUUCAAGAAGGUAUGAUUAAUUACAGGUAUUAAGAGGUGAAUUAUAGCUACGGAGUUCUAAAUAGAGCCAGCCUGUUUGGCUUAAUUAAUGAUGGGAACAGCUGGGACUAUGGACAGAAAGGCUGAAGGAAUGGUAAUGGCUACUGGCACUUGACAUGACUAAGUGACAAAACAGGAUGUGAUUGUUGUUGUUUCCUUGCUUCAAGUCCUUUGGAGUCAAAAAGCUAGAAGGCAUCUUAAAGUUUAUUUGUUUCCAAGCUCAUACCUUAUUCAUCCUGACAUUCUAACUCACAUGUCACUUGCUAAAAUUCUUUAACAUCUAGAGGAUGACAAAUGCAUUAUAAGUUUGAUAUAAAAAUUGCCCCUUUAUGGCAUGGCAGCAGCAAGGAGAUGGGCCUGGAAUUCAGUUUCCAACAAUCACAGUGCCAACACAAUUGAGAGCCCCAGGUCCAGCUGGGGUUGGUUGUAUGCUUGUCACGAGAUUAGCAGUGAAAGCAUUUUAAACUGCUGACAGUGGAAUCCCAGGCAAUUUCUUUUUCUUCAUGCAGCAUUUGUUAACCUCAGUUAAUAUUCUAAAGAAGUAACAUGAUCCAGGUUUAUUUAUGUCUAUAAUCUGUUCCAUCAAUCUGUUAAAUCAUAUGUUUACAUUUCGAGUAAAGGCCCAAUUACUAAACUUUAUUCACCUCCUCCAGUGCAACUUUAGCAAGAAUUACUGCUGAUGGUACCUCAUGAUAUUUUAAAGUACACUGCAGUUAGGUUUCACACCACAGUAAGAUUCAAUCUACUGUUACUGAAGACCCACAAUAUUUAUUGCAACUUGACUGUGAAAAUUCCCAUUUAUUAAAUCUUUUAACCUGUAGUCCAGCAGCUCAUUUCUGCACAUUUCUGUGUGCUUACCAUUAGGUCAGCCAUCCAGUGUUCUCAGAAGUGGAUAAAUGCUUUGGAAUGCUCACAGGGAUGCAGUGCUGUCACAUAACAAUGCACACACACACAGAGGAUUUAAAGGCAGUGAUACAGGCUUGCAGGCAGCUUUGCCCUACAGCAGGGGCAGACAGUCCCUGCAGGAUCAGCACAAGGCAUUUUACUUGCUCACGCAUAUUUACAGAGCUUUAUAGGAGGUACUCAUGAAGUAAACAAGAUUAUUUAUCUGCAUAAAAUAAGCAUGCAUGGAACUCUUCAAAGCCUAUGGACUCAAGUUUCUGCCCACCUGUUCUCCAACUAAAUGUGUUGGAUUUUCACUACCCAGUCCCUUGCACAUGCCAUUUCUCUAAAGGCCCCUAAUUUGUAACGUGGAGUGUAAAAUGAUAUGUGCCUUGUUCACUGCAGAGAGAAGCAGUGAAAUGAACUUCCUCUAGUUAGGAGUUUUCAGCUUAAGAGAUGACUUUCAGUUCUCCCUUACACAUGUUCUGACUGUAAAACUCAUAAUGUAUCUUGGGAAGCUUCAGCGCCUGUGCUUGAGGUGUUACCACAAU